UUUUAUUGUUUUUUUUUCCUUCUUAUCGCAUCUUUUUAUUUAAGGGAAUGUGACACGUUUAAGCACUUUUAGAGAAUUUUAUUCCAUUUGAGGCACUUUGCAGAGAUGAGACACUUUUUCAACUUUUUUAUCGAAUUUAUGACAAAUUUGCCCCUAAAAGUGAAAACGAAAAUACUUUAGCGUUUGGAAGUUGGUAUAUGAUGAGUGGAUCGUUGGAUGAAAGUCGUAACUAUUAUCAGAUUAUAUAUAUAAUUUAAUU
rnacentral:sRNA from 1 species